rnacentral:rRNA from 1 species
UACGGAGGAGGCAAGCGUUAUCCGGAAUUAUUGGGCGUAAAGCGUCCGUAGAUGGUUUUGUCAGUCUGCUGUCAAAGCACAGGGCUUAACCCUGUAAAGGCAGUGGAAACUACAAGACUAGAGUGCAGUAGGGGCAGAGGGAAUUCCCAGUGUAGCGGUGAAAUGCAUAGAGAUUGGGAAGAACAUCCGUGGCGAAAGCGCUCUGCUGGACUGCAACUGACAUUGAGGGACGAAAGCUAGGGGAGCGAAUGGG